GAUAAAUAAACUUCGUACCUCGCUUCAAACCAACCUGAACAAGCACAUCAGUAUCAUCCAGACUUUACAAAGAGACUUCAGACAGAAGACGGAGUUUACAUUGGAGGGCCUGAGGGAUGCAAAUAUUCAGAUAAUGAGAUCUUUCAAGUAUGUCAUUGAUAUUUUCUGAAUAAGUAAUUAUCAGUGUUGUGUUUUGUAGUGAAUUAGAUACAUAAAAUUUGAAUAUAUUAAUAAUCAUUGUUGUCUUUUUCACAAGAUUGUUUUCUGGGGGGGGCGGACAAAGUGUCUGGAGCAGGUUGAGAUUUUCACCUCACAAGUCGAUCAUAGUGAUCACACAUUAAGAUUUAUUAUUUUGACAGGAAGUAACAGUGAGAAUAAAUUUUUCCUCAGGCCAAAGACAAACUCAGGAAGUUUGAGGAGAAAUGCAGUUUCCUCGCUAUCGACCUUAAGUUUCUUGAAAAAGUGCAACAAAUUUUUACAAACACGAGGGUCCAGAUCAAAAGCGAGGCAUGCAAAAGAGUAACAUGCAAAAAAAGACAAUUGACAGCAUGCUGACUAAUUUAAAGGAAAUGACUGCUAAGUAUGAUCAACCCAGCUCCGAUAAGAAGGUAAACGACCAUAUAUAUUAUUAGAUUUACAUUUAUGUCAUUAUAAUACUGGACUACAGGAAAAUAUUUGUAUUGUAGAUUGUAACCAUAGUGGAGAUAACCAUUAACAACUUCUCUGAUGGAGGAACUAAAGAAGAGGUGUCAGUAUCUUGACUGUUUCUUGGAUGCCUCUAUGGCUGUCCCCCGAUUGAAGACUCUGCUUCAAGGGGCUUUUGCAGUUGCAGCUCAGCCCAGGUCCCGUAAACAGGGGAAAAAAGGCAGUCCAGAUGGAGAUGGUCUGCUCCAUUCUAGCGGCAUUGGAGUGUCCUUCCUGGAUGAUGCGGUGGUGGGGGUUAUCAAAGGCCUACUUAAGGUAGGCAAAGCACAACACCUCAAGGAGGCAAACGCUGACCCAAUAGAAAGACGCCCUUCAGCAGCAAGGCUAAACUCCCCUCUUGGAUCAGAUUGGAGGUCAGGAAAGAGCCCCAGUCAGUCUGGAAUAGAGACUCUGCGCAGAAAGUCAGUGGAGUCGGUGACCGCACAGAGUUUAAGAAGGUUCUCCAAACCCAACUGCUUUGAUAAGAAGUUUCUUAUUUUUGGCUCAGAACCUGAAGAGCAGCAGGACAGGAGUUCUAUAAGAAGAAAGAGUGCCGCCCCAUUACUUGGCCUGAGCAACUGCAGGAGACAUUUAAUCAGUGUGCAGAGGAGAUACACAAAAGACUUCUCAUCUACCAGAGCCAGUCACAUGAUUACCACAACAGAUGGCUGCAAGAAUUUCAGCUGCAGUUGAAGGCCAUUGAGGAGUUUCUGUCCAGCGUACCAGAGAAGCUUUUUUCUAAACUAAUAGAUCGAUAUCUUGAGAAGCUGAUGCAAAGCAUGACACAAAUUCAACACCGGUUUCAACUAGCUCAGCAGCGGAGUGAACAAAAGAGGGUAUGUGAACAAAUGCAGAACAAUGGUGGGAGCAGAGGAAAUUAUACUAUACUUUCAAGUUCCUCCCAUGUAGUCACUCUGAGGAAGAUGCCAUUAAACUGUCACAAUGCAAGAGACUGUUAUCCACGCUAUAUAUAUGCAAAAUAUUGAACACAUACAUGCAACCGUAGCUAUUCAUAAAGAGUAGUAACUAGGUUUGUUCUGUUUAGUGGGCUGCUGUCAUAGAGGGAACACAGUGGUCAGUUGCAUGUGCGUCUGAGCCAUCCAGCCUGUGAGACAGAACUGAAACAGCUGCUGCUGGCUGAGGAGAAGAGACAGACAGAGCAGAGACAAGCCAUCCAGAAUACCAGACAGGAAGUACAGGUUACAGAUUUACUGUUUCAAACUUUAACUCAAAUAAUCGCUGUAUAGCUUUUAUUGCUUUUUAAAAAAAAAAAAUCACAAAAGUUAAACUUGGUCUUCUUGUUUCUGGACAGGCCUGUGCUCUCAGAAAUGCAGAAGAAUUUGUCACUGCUCUUGCUAGGUUGGCGGAGGCCUUACUUUUCCAGUUCGACAACCUCAUAACCAUUCAUGAGGUUCAAGUGGGAUGUAAGGUUAUGAAUUAAUGUAUGUAAAUGUAGAUGGUGCCACAGCACAGGUUUGAUAGGGUCUCGAUCAGUGUUGACGCAUUAUAAGCUAUAUGAAUAUAAUUAUAGGCAAUAGGUAAUCAGAUUUUUUUCAUGUAAGUGUUUGCUAAUAAAAAAAGUAUAUGUUGUAUAUAAAAGUAUAUA
ensembl:lncRNA